GUCUGGAGGGACUGAGACAGCUCCCCUCCUCUGCAGAGAGACUGUUUUCAAUGACCAGAGUGUGGGGAGGUCAACAGACAUGCCUCACACCGCAGCCUCACUGGCAGGGCCAGCUGGUGACUCAGGGGCAUGCAGGCGUGCAGAACUUCAGGUAGAUGGUGGGCCCUGAGCUGCAGAGGCGGGGGCAAGCGAGAGCAGGACCCAGGAAGAGGCACCCAGCCGGCCGGUGUUUGAGCGGAGUGCCAGAAGAGUUCUACUGGAUGUCGGAUGGCAUCAGUCCGGAACCUUGGGGGACCCACAGUCAGCUGGGACACUGGCCAAAACUGCAGACCCCUGCACUGCCCUCUACAGAUUCUACUCAGUGGAGUCCUGGUGAUGUUCCCCAGAGUGCCAGGACCAGACGCGGAGCCAUGCCCACCACUCUGACAGCUGCUUCCGCCGAGUGACACGCGGAACAGAGAGGCACUUUGACGGACAACACAACUGAGGCCCAGCAACCUGCUGAGGCCCCACAGCCAGGGAAGGAGCUGCCCAUUAGGCAGGGGUGGAGGGGAGGAUGUUUGCUCCUCUUAUGAGAAGCCUCGGCCCCCAUGCCUGCCAGGGGACAGGGACUGGCACCCUUGACUCCUUGGUCUCCCCAAACUACAGUGUGCUGCAUUCUGGACAUACAACAUGGUAGGGCCAGGUGUUUCAGUGUGAAGCCCAGUGGCGCCGGAACACAGGACCUGUCAUAGACCCUGUGUGCUAGCCUAGUCCGCUGAAAACCAUCCCUGGCCCUCCAGAACAUUUGAAUGGAAGUGACUUCCAAAUAGAGGGAACUGGCGAGGGAGCCAAGAGCCCAUUUCUUGCAAAUGAAUCAUGUAGGGCUGGCUCCAGCCUGGCCCCGGGUUUCUACAGGACUGAUGCUUGUUUCUGUUCAUUCAGAGCCGCAGUCAUCUCUGGAUUCACUUGAGUUCUGGAAAAUUCAUCAGUGUGGCCCAGAGGAGGGCUCUGAAUACGCGUCUGUUGGACUGUGCGGCCGCCGCAGCCGUUCUGCAACCUGCAGAGCCUCUUCCUGCAGCCCUGGUCAUCCUCCCAGGCCACCAUUGCCAAAGAACUUUUCCAGUUAACUCAAGCCCAAGGCAUUCUGCAGUCCCAAGCCAGUCCUUCACAUGACUGUUAGCAGAUGCCACGCCAUGCCGGAUGGUUCCAUGUCUCCAUUCAGUCACCAGAUCUCCGAAGUGCACCAGCUCUGGCCAGCUUGGCUGCUAGCACUGCAGUGACAAAGCAGGACAAAGCACAGACCCUGCCUUUGCGGAGUUCCAGUUUGGUGGCAAUGACACCCUUGUCAGCAGCUGGCUGCAGCACCAGAGAUGCCCCGUACAAAGCCCAUACAAAGCAGUGUGCAUGCCAGAGAGGCUGUGAUGAAUCCUGUGGGAGCAAGAGGAAGGCCGGCAGAGAGGGGCAGAGAGAGGAGGGAAAGAAGAGAAAGAGGAGGGGAGAGGAAGGAGACAGGGAUGGAGACAGGGAGGAAGGCAGGGAGAGAUGGGCAGAGAGAGGAGGGGAAGAAGAGAAAGAGGAGGGGAGAGGAAGGAGACAGGGUUGGAGGCAGGGAGGAGGGCAGGGAGAGAGGAGCACAGAGAGGAGGGAAAGAAGAGAAAGAGGAGGGAGGAGAGGGAAGGAAGGAGACAGGGAUGGAGGCAGGGAGAAAGGCAGGGAGAGAAGGGCAGAGAAAGGAUGGAAAGAGAAGAGAAAGAGGAGGGUGGAGGAAAGAGACAGGGAUGGAGGCAGGGAGGAAGGCGGGGGGAAGGGGCAAAAAAGGAAGGAGGAAGGAAAUGGGAGAAGCAGAAAGAGGAGGAUGGAGAGGAGGAAGGAAUGAUGGAAAGGAGGGAGGGAAUGAUGGAGGGCAGGAAAGGAGGGAGGGAAGAAAGAGGGCUUUGUGGAGGAAGAAGUACCCGUGCUGAAUGAGGCUGGAAGAAUUAAACGAUGCUUGGAAGCUCAAACUUUGAACAAAGCACAGAAGCCCCUUCCAGGGAAUUGCCCCCUCCAGGGAAUUGCCCCUUCCAGGGUGUUGCAACUUCCAGGGAGUUGCACCUCCCAGGAGGUUGUGUGUGGGUCAUCAGAGGAUGGAGAGGCAUGGAAGGCAAUGGUGGGCAGCUGGGCUGCUAAUCACCAAGGGCCUUGUCUGCUGUCACUGGUGUGAUUUUUGUCCAGAAUUGUCAUUACAAUGAAUUAAAAGCUCAAGCCAGCUU